rnacentral:rRNA from 1 species
UACGGAGGAUCCAAGCGUUAUCCGGAAUCAUUGGGUUUAAAGGGUCCGUAGGCGGUCUUGUAAGUCAGUGGUGAAAGCCCAUCGCUCAACGGUGGAACGGCCAUUGAUACUGCAGGACUUGAAUUAUUGGGAAGUAACUAGAAUAUGUAGUGUAGCGGUGAAAUGCGUAGAUAUUGGAAAGACCACCAAUGGCGAAGGCACUCUACUGGGCCAUUACUGACACUGAGAGACGAAAGCUAGGGGAGCAAAUGGG